rnacentral:rRNA from 1 species
GAUGAACGCUGACAGAAUGCUUAACACAUGCAAGUCGAUUCGAUUUACCUUCGGGUAUUGAGGAUGGCGGACGGGUGAGUAACGCGUAAGGAACUUGCCUCUUGGACUGGGACAACUGUUGGAAACGACAGCUAAUACCGGAUAUUAUGAGAUUCUCGCAUGGGAAACUUAUGAAAGCUAUAUGCGCCAAGAGAGAGCCUUGCGUUCCAUUAGCUAGUUGGUGGGGUAAUGGCCCACCAAGGCGACGAUGGAUAGCCGGCCUGAGAGGGUGAACGGCCACAAGGGGACUGAGACACGGCCCUUACUCCUACGGGAGGCAGCAGUGGGAAUAUUGGACAAUGGGCCACAAGCCUGAUCCAGCAAUUCUGUGUGCACGAUGAAGGUCUUCGGAUCGUAAAGUGCUUUCAGUUGGGAAGAAGAAAGUGACGGUACC